GGAGUGCUUAGGUCCGUGCUGUGUAUGUAUUUUCUGUUUUAAUAAUUUGGUUAUCUAGGGAACCAGUGAAAGGACUGUACACACUUGAAAUGCUGGCAUAAUUUAGUGUAACAAAAGGAUAUCUGACUGGGAUGUGAGCUCUCUUUCUACCUCUCAAGUAAAGUAGCAUGCUCAUUCUAGAAGACGAACUCCUGAUCCUAAUAACAGAUCUCUUCAGAAACAAUAUUUAGGACUUCAUAGUAUCUGAUGGCAAAUAUAAAACAGAUAUAUAUAACUUUGAAUGCUUUGGCUUACAUUGAAGCUGGAUUUAUUAAAGGAGCCAUCUCAAGCUAUACCUGUCUAACAAUGCUUUGGUAAGUGUGUUUGUAUGAAAAAAGUAUUAAAAUGGUGUUACUUUAAAUAUCAGUAUUUCUUUAUUAAAAUUCUUACAAUUGUGUGUUCAUCUUUACAGCAUUUUCUCAAUGAGUGGAAUUGGGAAAUGUUUUGUCAUGCUUUUAGCAAAGUGAGCAAAUAAAGCAAACAUAUCUUAAGUUUUUAACAUAACUUUUUAAACAAUUUCUUAAAUCACUGAGUCUAUAGGCAGGUAACAGUUUUAUGGUUAGAAGUUUAAACUGUAUAUCUGACUGAAUUUACUAAUUUUUUUUCUCAUCUUCCACUAAGAUUUUUCACUUGCAGGGGAAUCUCAUUGAGAUGAUUGAAAUCACUGCAGUGAGAAUGGAAAUUACUUGGGCUCCUUUCCUUUUAAAAACUGCAUGCAAGAACUGUGUGGGGUACUGCAUGCAGCCACUGGGACCUGUGCAUCUGAUACUGACAUGAGAGGUUAUUCAGCAGCACCUAAGAAAGCAGUAACUGUCUGUGGAAGAGCAGUGUCAGUUCUGUCCUCCCCAUGUUCUUCAGACAGCUGGUGGCUACAGAUAGACCUUUUCAUUAGCCAGAGAUAUACCAGGUAGUUUUAAUUAUUCACUAAUUUAUACUUACAUUAACACUUAAAUAGCUGUUAAGAUUGGGUUUAUUUUUAGAAAUUGUAUCAUUUCUGUUAUUUAUUCCUGGAUAAGCUACUAUAACCUUGGACAAAUUAAUUCUCUGUUAAUACAUACCCUAUGAAUGAUCAUGAUUUCCCCAGCAUUCAGACACUGUGUCAUGUAGUGGUGUCAUUAAAGACCAUCUGCAUAAGAUAUGUUUUAUUUGGCUUGAUAAGCCAAAUCUUAUAAGAAUGCUGAGCAAGCAAAACGUCUUGCUUCAAGGUGUCCCAAGUUAUACUGGCACUUGGCCUCUAAUUCUAGUUUGCCUGAGCAGAAACACUUGAGAAACACCAGAACACUUUUGCUGUUCCCACUUCUUGCCUCCUAACAUGGCUAGACCUUGAUUAGAGGGUGACAAGGAACAGAACAUUUGUAAAACAGAUUCUGAUUUUCCUGUACAUAAAUUCUUCUGAAUUUAAGCAUAGCUCAAACCUGGGAACACCAGGCUGUCUGAUGAUGCAGAGUUCAAAUUACCUUGGUUAUUUCAUGGUCUGCAGUUCUUGGAUCCCUCAGCAGCCAUGAUGCCCUCAUGGGCAGUUCUUGGAGCCCUCAGCAGAAAUUAUCAGUAACACUAAAAUUAAUUUUAAUUUUGACAAGGUCAAAUCAUCUUUGGACCCUUCAGCUGCAAGCAGACAGAGCAAUCCAGCACCCCACUGUCAUAUUGUGCUCGGAAUCACCCCAGUAGGUCUCUAUGGAUGCCCAGCUUUUGUUCUUGAUUAAACAUUGCUGGCACUGAGAGGUAAGUUUCUGGCAUCCUGUAGGACAAGUUCUGUGGAAAAUAUUCCUCUGUUCAGUCAGAACCAGAAGAGAACUGACAGUUCUUCUGUAAGGUUCUCUUUAGCUAGGUAGAGAGCUCAGGUGUGGCUCACACCAGGGUAGUUCUUGCGUUUUCCAGCAUCUAGAUUCUCAUUAACAUUUCUUAAAUGCC
rnacentral:lncRNA from 14 species